UACGAAGGGGGCUAGCGUUGUUCGGAAUUACUGGGCGUAAAGCGCGCGCAGGCGGCUCUUCAAGUCAGGGGUGAAAGCCCAGAGCUCAACUCUGGAACUGCCUUUGAGACUGAAGAGCUUGAGUACGGGAGAGGUGAGUGGAAUUCCCAGUGUAGAGGUGAAAUUCGUAGAUAUUGGGAAGAACACCAGUGGCGAAGGCGGCUCUCUGGACCGUAACUGACGCUGAGGCGCGAAAGCGUGGGGAGCAAACAGG
rnacentral:rRNA from 1 species